AGAGUUUGAUCCUGGCUCAGAACGAACGCUGGCGGCGCGUCUUAACCAUGCAAGUCGAGCGGCAGGCAGCAAUGCCGAGAGCGGCGGACUGGUGAGUAACACGUGGAUAACGUACCCCGAUGCCCGGGACAGCCUGUAGAAAUAGAGGGUAAUACCGGAUAGAUCACUGUUUACGGAAGGUAGACAGCGGGAAAGGAGCUUCGGCUCCGCGACGGGAUCGGUCUGCGGCCCAUCAAGCUCGUUGGUGAGGUAAGAGCUCACCAAGGCGAGGACGGGUAUCCGGCCUGAGAGGGCGGACGGACACAUUGGGACUGAGAUACGGCCCAGACUCCUACGGGAGGCAGCAGGUAAGAAUAUUCCGCAAUGGGGGGAACCCUGACGGAGCGACGCCGCGUGAACGAAGAAGGCCGGAAGGUUGUAAAGUUCUUUUCUGUCCGAGGAAUAAGUGUAGGAGGAAAUGCCUGCAUGGUGACGGUAGGGCAGGAAUAAGCACCGGCUAAUUACGUGCCAGCAGCCGCGGUAACACGUAAGGUGCGAGCGUUGUUCGGAAUUAUUGGGCGUAAAGGGCAUGCAGGCGGGUCGCCAAGCUUGGUAAGAAAUACCGGGGCUCAACUCCGGAGCUAUAUUGAGAACUGGCGAGCUAGAGUUGCCGAAGGGUAUCCGGAAUUCCGCGUGAAGGGGUGAAAUCUGUAGAUAUGCGGAAGAACACCGAUGGCGAAGGCAGGAUACCGGCGGACGACUGACGCUGAGGUGCGAAGGUGCGGGGAGCAAACAGGAUUAGAUACCCUGGUAGUCCGCACAGUCAACGAUGUACACUGGGCGUGUGCGCAAGAGCGUGCGUGCCGAAGCAAACGCGAUAAGUGUACCGCCUGGGGAGUAUGCCCGCAAGGGUGAAAC
rnacentral:rRNA from 1 species